CGGCGCAGAGACGCUCUCCCUGCCUCACCACGGCCUGGACCACAGAGUCUGCCGUGCUCAGCAGCUUGGUUAUGUGAUUCUUCUGGACCAGACCCUCCAGCACCCUCUGCCAUGUCGUCAUCACAACAAACACACAGACAUGCGGAGUCAUGAGGUUUUCAAGUGUGGUCAACAAAGACACGCGGGGACAUAUUGUUUGUUGUUUGUUUCCAUCUGGAUUUUUCCUCAGCCUAACUCAGCAUCAAGAUAUAUCUCAACCGCUGUGACAUUUGGAGCAGAUAUUAUGGUAGUAACUGUCCUGUGUCAUGUGUCCAAAAACAUUUUAGAUGACAUUUGUGAAGUCUCCGCAUAAGGAACCCACCUUUUCAAAGCCCUGCUCCACCACCGUCAUGUUAGGGUUGAGCUGAUUGUGGAGCCUCGGCUCGGUCACGGCUUUCUUGAGGUCGUAGUUAAAGAACAGGGAGUUCAGGAUCACCUGUGUGGGGCCAUGAAAAGCAAGAUGUCAAAAUGAUCGUGGGACACAUGGAAGACAGCGGCCUCUUCCCUGCCAACAGACAAACUGAAGACAGGAAAUGGCUUCUCACUACAGAUUGAUGGUGCUGGUGGCGGCCACUGCGCUUCCAUCUUCAGCCAUGACUGACAGCGCCCCCUCCUGUAGGUCUGAACACAACAGCGAUCCACACGACUGAUGUUCUUCAAACAGACUUAGCGGAGCGUUGAUGGGCGCAAACAGCAGCGUCUGACAACCUGAUAACA